GGUUCCAUAGGAUAGCGAUUAGCCCAUCUGCUUUACAUGCAGAAGGUCUUGGGUUCGCUCCCCAGUGGAGCCA
rnacentral:tRNA from 1 species